UACGUAGGGUGCGAGCGUUGUCCGGAAUUAUUGGGCGUAAAGAGCUUGUAGGUGGUUUGUCGCGUCUGCUGUGAAAAUCCGGGGCUCAACCCCGGACUUGCGGUGGGUACGGGCAGACUAGAGUGUGGUAGGGGAGACUGGAAUUCCUGGUGUAGCGGUGAAAUGCGCAGAUAUCAGGAGGAACACCGAUGGCGAAGGCAGGUCUCUGGGCCACUACUGACGCUGAGGAGCGAAAGCGUGGGGAGCGAACAGG
rnacentral:rRNA from 1 species